rnacentral:rRNA from 1 species
GUUCCCGGGCCUUGUACACACCGCCCGUCACACCACGAGAGUUUGUAACACCCGAAGUCGGUGGAGUAACCGUAAGGAGCUAGCCGCCUAAGGUGGGACAGAUGAUUGGGGUGAAGUCGUAACAAGGUAGCCGUAUCGGAAGGUGCGGCUGGAUCACCUCCUUUCUAAGGA